UCCAGUAGUCCGCGGACUACAAUACCAGCUUCAGGAAUAUAUAAUGAAAGAGAGCCUCAGAACGAGAAAUACGAAAAUGCAGAAAAUGAAGCUGCUUUGGGCAGUUGUUCGUGUGUUAUGCCUCUUCCUACUCCUUUCUCAGUGCAACUGCCAAAGAGGGCCUGUACCACCCAGUAGUGGUCGGAACUAUGAUAGACCAUCACAACCGGCACUGACGGGUGGCCCGCCGCAGCGUCCAUGAAAACCAGAAAACCGGGAUCUGUGUAGAGCUUCGAAGCAGCCUCUUAUUUCAAGUUUGAAGAUUAAAGGGGUGUCAUGCAAUAAAAUAAAUUGGUUUUUGUUAACCUUCUUAUUAAGGUAUUGUCGAUGAAGUGAUUUAACAUUUCCAAGACUUCACCGGCACUAAUUGGCGAACACGUGAAUGAUCCAACCCGUACAUUAGGAUGACCACCUCUUGGAUAGGCUAUUGGUCAAAUCCCAGAUUGAUCGGAUGGUCUGAUCUUCGCGAAAAGUAUACAUAAUUUGGAUGGUUAGGCCAUCCAAUUUAAUGGAUAUUGCAAGCUAAUAAGAGGUGGUUGUUCUGAUUUGGGUUUGGGGAAAUGGCCCAUCUAAGAUGUGGUCAUUCUAAUGGACGGUUCAGAUCAGUUCACCAAUGAAGGUCGGUGACGAUUAGUGAGGGUUUAUAUAUAUAUAAUUUAUGUAAAUAAAGGGCAUUCUAGCAAUCAAGCUCUACUCUUUCUACUCUCUUCUUGUCUAUCAGAAAUUUUCAUUUGAUUUCAUUUUUCUAGCCAUUCCGCCCUUUUGGGUGACUUGUGUUUGUGAAAGUGGGACAACAAUGAUUGAUACACACACGUGAUGUGUGGGCCUGGUAUAAUGUGUACGAUUCAUCUAAUUUGUCCAUCAUGUGCUUC